CUGGCUGCAUGCUUGAUGGUGGGAGGAAGAAGGACCCCACUGGAGUGCAAAGGUUGGUCUGAUUCUUAGAAAAUAUCUACAGAGUGCAACGAAGUUCUUCACAGCAAAGUCAUGACUGGGACCUUCCCUCCUUCAGGCUAACUCAACAGAAGUACUUCAUAAUGAGAUAUCCUUGAAGCACUAGCAGUGAUGACCAUUUAAGCUUCCCACAAG
rnacentral:lncRNA from 12 species